rnacentral:lncRNA from 1 species
GCCUCCUAAGUGCUGGGAUUAAAGGCAUGCGCCACCACCCGGGCUGGUUCUGUGUGUUCUAAAGACAGCCUCCUGCACUGCCAUUGUGACAGCCUUCAUGAUAAUGGCUGUUACCAUCCGGAUUGCAGACUCCCUGGGUAGAAUGGCAUCUCUAUUCAGCGAGCGUCCCAGCUGCAGAGAAUCCCUGCCUAAGUCUUUCAUCCACUCCCCUGGGAUCUGUUGAGGGCCCAUCAGUACCAGGUUAGCUUCUC